AACCCAGUCCUGUCAAUAGCCACCCCCAGCGCUCUGAUAAAAAUAAUGAAUUUAUCGUUAUUCACAAUGGAAUCAUUACCAACUACAAAGACUUGAAAAAGUUUUUGGAAAGCAAAGGCUAUGACUUCGAAUCUGAAACAGACACAGAGACAAUUGCCAAGCUUGUUAAGUAUAUGUAUGACAAUCGGGAAAGUCAAGAUACCAGCUUUACUACCUUGGUGGAGAGAGUUAUCCAACAAUUGGAAGGUGCUUUUGCACUCGUAUUUAAAAGCGUUCAUUUUCCUGGGCAAGCAGUUGGCACAAGGCGAGGUAGCCCUCUGUUGAUUGGUGUACGGAGUGAACAUAAACUUUCUACUGAUCACAUUCCUAUACUCUACAGAACAGCUAGGACUCAGAUUGGAUCAAAAUUCACACGGUGGGGAUCACAGGGAGAAAGAGGCAAAGACAAGAAAGGAAGCUGCAAUCUCUCUCGUGUGGACAGCACAACCUGCCUUUUCCCGGUGGAAGAAAAAGCAGUGGAAUAU
rnacentral:sRNA from 1 species